CACGUAGGGCGCGAGCAUUGUCCGGAAUUAUUGGGCGUAAAGAGCUCGUAGGCGGCCUGUUGCGUCCGCUGUGAAAGCCCGGGGCUUAACCCCCGGGUCGGCAGUGGAUACGGGCAGGCUAGAGGUAGGUAGGGGAGAAUGGAAUUCCCGGUGUAGCGGUGAAAUGCGCAGAUAUCGGGAGGAACACCGGUGGCGAAGGCGGUUCUCUGGGCCU
rnacentral:rRNA from 1 species